rnacentral:rRNA from 1 species
GAUGAACGCUGGCGGCGUGCCUAAUACAUGCAAGUCGAGCGAACGGACGAGAAGCUUGCUUUUCUGAUGUUAGCGGCGGACGGGUGAGUAACACGUGGAUAACCUACCUAUAAGACUGGGAUCACUUCGGGAAACCGGAGCUCAUACCGGAUAAUAUUUUGAACCGCAUGGUUCAAAAGUGAAAGACGGUCUUGCUGUCACUUAUAGAUGGAUCCGCGCUGCAUUAGCUAGUUGGUAAGGUAACGGCUUACCAAGGCAACGAUGCAUAGCCGACCUGAGAGGGUGAUCGGCGACAGUGGAAGUGAGACACGGUCCAGAGUCCUACGGGAGGCAGCGAUAGGGAAUGUUCCGCAAUGGGCGAAAGCCUGACGGAGGAACGCCGCGUGAGUGAAGAAGGUCUGCGGAUCGUAAAACUCUGUUAUUAGGGAAGAACAUAUGUGUAAGUAACUGAGCACAUCUUGACGGUACCUAAUCAGAAAGCAACGGCUAACUACGUG